rnacentral:rRNA from 1 species
GAAGACGGCCAUAGUGAGUUGGAAACACCUGUUCUCAUUCCGAACACAGAAGUUAAGCUUCUCACGUUGUUGGCAGUAGUGUCCGACAAGACGCCAAACCUUCAAGCUGUCUUCU